GAGUAUGCUAGGGUCAAACAAUCAUCAUGGUAUUGUUUCUUCAGAACUGUAACAAAUGUAACAAGCUAUUUGUUACAAUAAAUGCAAAUAGAACUCGCUAGUAAACAUUAUUGCAGAAUUUGGAAAAAUAUUAAGAGACUUUACUUUUAAAGCUAAAGAGUUCUGUCUCCGGCAGUGUGAGAAGGAUAAUUAUACCUAGCUUAGUAUAGGUGAAAUGGCAGUGGAGAUUCUAAAUACGGUAUUAGCUUAGUAUUGGUUUCAGUCCAUCCAUUAGCCUUAGAGAGAAAAGUAUUAGUUAAUGAUCGACAAAACCAUAUGAGAUGAUAAUUAUAUGUUAAUACAAAAGCUAAUAUCCGGCGGUAGUAUAGCAAACCAAAGCCUGCCCAAGAACAACCAUUGGCUUUUUGAUCACUAGGAAGAGAAGUUCACUAGGAAAUUUUACAUGCCGGGAAGUUCCCUUGAUGGAUUCAUGUUGAGAAUGAAGAAGAAGAACAGAGACCAGAUCUACCAUUAUUCUCCUCAAAAUAAUUUUGGGGAUGGAAUGGAUUACUUAAUGAAAAGACUUGGAGUCUUUCUCCACAAAUAGGCGUUCUCCUCUUCAUCAUAUCCCACUAACUCGCCCUAAUCUUUCAUGUCCCAUCAAAAGUUAUCACAUAAAUCAGCAGUGUCACAAGUGAAAUCACACAGAAGACCCAUGCAGAGAGCCGAAAGAGAGUCAGCACUGGUGGUGGAGAGCUGCAUACAUGUGAAGAAGACCGUCGGAAAAGUUGCCUUGGCUUAUCAGUAUUAUGUUCCAAGGCGGCCCUGAGCUUCAAGCACCAAACAACAGUAAUAGCAAUAAUUUAAAGAAAAAGAAGUUGACUUUCGAUAUACAACACCCAUUUCCUAUCUCUCCUACCUGCAACCCACCCACCUUUGCGACCUAUGAAAUGAUUUGUGGCAGUGGCCUCAGAUACCCACUAAAGAUGAAGGAAAGACACUUUAGUAGGCUUCUCUCACCCCUGUCCCACUCACUUUCCCGUCUUCUACCAGUGGAGAACCUAGGAUAGCCCAGCCUUGCAUAAAGAUCUACCCCUGGUAUGUGUUAUUUGGUGCAUUGUUGUACCAUAAUUUAAAAGGGAGAGGUUAUGGGAUUCAUUACAUGUGUGAAGAGAGCAGAGCAACUUAUGAGGUCAAGUCUCUCUCUAGGUAGCCCUUGUUCUACCAUUUAUUAUGUUCAAAUUUUAUAACAUAAAGGCCGCUCCACAUUCUGUUCUCAAAAAUACUAAUGAUCACAAUAGGUAUUGAAGUACUCAAAAUAUGGAAGUUAUUAAUUUUAUAUAUAUAUAUAUAUAUAUAUAAUAAACUAUUUAANNNNNNNNNNNNNNNNNNNNUUAUUAAUUUAUAUAUAUAUAUAUAUAUAUAUAUAAAACAUUUUAAGUAUCAAACUUAGUUGAAUUUUGGUCCAUGUAGGUUACUUUUACGUAGUUUGAGGUAAUGAAGUAAUCUGAAAGGGCGCAACUUGAAUACUAGACAGGCUCAAAAAAAUUAUUCAAUCUUUUCAUUUGACCAUUUAUUAACAUUAUUGACCUUAGUAUGGUAGCUUGGAAAAAAUAACAACGACAAUAAUAAUAACAAUAGUAGAUAAAUAAGUAAAUAAAUAAGCAAGCUAUAACUCAAUCAGAGGUCAACCAUCAUCUUCCCUCCAACUUAGGAAUAUUCUAAUAUUGACACAUGAACACUAAAUGUCUGUUACUACCCUACUCAAAUGGUCCCAAAAGAUCCACUUUAAUCAUGAAGGGAGCAUGAUAAGAUGUGCACACCGGCAUUUCUAGGAGAUGAUGAGUGGACAUGGAAAUUAUUUGAUAUGGAUAUUGAAAAAUCACUGACCUUUCAGCGAUUUCCAAUCAGGAUGUCAAAUCUAGAUGUGGGGCAAGACUGAUGCACGUUAAACUCAUCCCUGAUUGCAGGUCAGUGCAGACAGGCAUACUUAUGGACUUAUAAUGUUUCUAAUGGACCAAGCUUUACAGUGCCAACUAAAUUUCUAGCCCAGUGACCCAUGAAUUGAGAGAGAGAUAUCCAUGACCUUAAGGCACUGUUCGGAUAGGCAAUAUGUGGGAUUUAUCCCCAUUUAUCCUGGGAAUAACAACUAAAAAUGCUAAUCUGUCGGCCAAGAUAAGUUAGGCCCAGUUAUCCAGUCAACGAAGUUUAUACGCUUUACAACUUUAUAUCUAAGGGACGGUUGCCUAACUAUAGUGUAAAACUUGAUCCCAACCACUCCCCUAUGCCCUCCAUUAUUUAAGAAAAUGACCAAUUUAGAUCUCCAAUAAUAUAAUAUAAUAUAAUAUAUAUGAUACUACGUUAUAAUAUUAUUAUAAUAUGAUAUUCUAUAUUAUUAAAUAUUAUUAUAAUCUUAUCAUAUAAUAUAAUAUUGCAUAACAUUAUAAUAUUACAUUGCAAUAUUUAGUAUGAUGUAUAAUGUAAUAUCAUAGUAUAAUACUAAAAAUACAUUACAAAAUCACUUUUUUCAUCCACUUUUCUCCAAGCAACAUCCAAACAGUAUCUCUUACCCGCUCCCAGUGUCCAAACAAACAGCUGCAAUCUUUAAUUGGUAUAACAUCAUUUUCCCUUACGCAAAAAUUAAGAUUUACAACCUUUUUUUAUCCCAAAAACUCGUACCAAAUCUAAACGUAGGCUAAAAAGCAACCCGAACAGUGGUAAGUAUCCCCCAUUUUGUGGCCAACUUGGUCUUAAACAUCCAGCAACUGUCCUCGGUUGACCAUGAGAGCCAUUUGGGAUGCAAGCCAACCAUAACAGGGCCCAUGAUUCUGAAUAAUUUAUAGCUACACAGACAGAUGUUGAGGAUCGAUUUUAUUAGAUUUAAAGAUACAGAGAACUUCUAGGCAGAAAUUAUUGGAACUUCUGUAUACAGUGUAGACUAUAUCUUGUUCUGUUAUAUUCAUAGAGAAAUUCUACAAAUAUUCUUUCUCUAGAAGUUGUUAUUGGAUUUUAAGAGAAAACUCAAAGAGGGUAGAGAUGAGAAAGAAAACUAAACUUUCAUGGGCCACACAAUAUGGAUAAAACCAUAAAUAAAUUAGGCAAUUUGUUUUGGGUUUAUAGCAAUUACCAGGUUGAAUUUUGUGGCUAUUUUGUUGGACUGGCUCUAAAGUCCUAUUUGAAUAGGACCAGUCUCCUGCUUGAAUUAUUGAAUGGAUUAAGAAUUUUUAGAAGUCGCUAAAUUGUGUUUUGACAUACUUUUAUUUCCAAAAGGAAUUCUCAAAAUCUAUCAGUUGCAGUUUUAAGAAGAUCAUAUUACCAUUAUAUAUAUAUAGUCUUGACUUGGAUAAGUAUUUAAGAACAGGACUAGAAUUGUAAAGAGUGUGUUCGUGUAAUCAAAAAUUUUUGAAAGUUUCUAGUGUCAUGAAUUGUUAAACAGAUGUGAGACUUUUAAGUAAAGCCAUAUACUUUGUG
rnacentral:lncRNA from 1 species